UAUUUCCCCCUGCCCAACCCCCCGCGGAUGCCAGCCGCCGUUGCCAUCCCUAGCAGCAGCUGCACGGCGGCAGGCACAUAGAAAAGGAGCUUUCAAUUCCGGGGAUUGGGCAAAAUGCAAGAGCGAGGGAGCGAAAGCGAAAGUCGGCCUCUCUCUCUCUCGGUCUCGAGGGGAGCAAUUGAACCUACCUGGCUACGUUCGUUGUACUAUACUGCCACUACGCUCUCUCUCUCUCUCACACACACAAAAACACACAAAGUCAUAAGCUUCAAAUUCCAUAAAUUUGGUCAGAGACAAAAUUUAGCAGCAGUUCAGCUCAGCGGCACAUUGCUUCUUUUUUAUUUUUUUUCUCUUUUAUUUUCUUUGGCAAUGCGGAGAUUCGUAGCCGACAAAACCAGAAAUCUCAUCAGGAGAGCUUCCUCUUGUUCCCCCACUUGCCCAGUAUCCACCCGUCCUCAUCACCCUCCUUCCCUUCUUUCUCAACCUACAUCAUCACCUUUUUCCUCCUCUUCUCCUUCCCAUCCAUCGUCUAUUACUAGUCCCCUGCGUUUCUUGACCGCCGCUGCUCUCCAUCCCCUCUCUUUCCCUGCUUCUCCUAACUCCAUGGCUACCAAUUAUUCAACCACCCCUGUUACUCUUCAAUCCGUCAAUCCAAAGGUGAUUGAUUUUUAUUAGACAAGUAGCUUACAACUUUACAAGUUCGCAAAUUCCCAAACUUCAAAGCCCAAAGCCUAGAUCAAAAGUCCAAAGCCCAGAAUCUUUUCCCAAAACCCCCGUCAAAGUAAAACCAAGCCAUCCCUUCCCCUCCACUCCAGCUCCACUCCUGAGAAACAAUCCACCAAAUUCAACAGUUUUCCCAGAUGCUGAUGAUUUCAAGAAUCAAAUGGGUUCUCCAAAAUCCCCUUUUUUUGCACCACCACCCCAUCAAAAACCCAUCUUUUCUCCUAAAAACACCAACAAGAAAUCCUCGUUUUUUUGCCGUUAAACCCUUGUUAAACCCUCAACCUAGUCAUCAGCAACAUCAUCACCAUUGUCAGAUGCGAGGCUUGAAAUCAGAAGCUACUUCUGCUGCUGCUGCUGCUUCUUCUUCCGGUGAAAUUCACGUGAUUGUGGGGCCCAUGUUUGCUGGAAAAACUUCCACUCUUCUCAGGAGGAUUAAGACCGAGAGCAGCAAUGGAAGUUUUCAGGCCGAUGCUAGAGAGAUUGCCCUUCAGUUGGAUAAGAGUUUGAAGGAUCUCUGUUUUUCAGGAAGAGUAGUGGAAGCUGUUCGGAUGUUAUGCCAUGCACGGGUUCAAGUAGAAUCGGAAACUUAUUCUCUUCUUUUGCAAGACUGUAUCUUCAGGAAAGAUUAUAGUUUGGGAAAAAAAAUCCAUUGGCAAAUGAUAAUCAUUGGAUGUGUUCCCAAUGAAUAUCUAAAUGUUAAAUUGUUGAUUUUAUAUGCAAAGGCAGGAGAUCUUAAUCUAGCCCAUAUUCUUUUUGACAAGUUACAAAUGAAAAGCUUGGUCUCAUGGAAUUCGAUGAUUGCAGGCUAUGUGCAGAUAGGGUUGGAAGAGGUGGGUUUGAGCAUGUUCCAUAAGAUGAGAAAAAAUGGUUUGAUACCAGACCACUAUUCCUUUGCAUCAGUCUUUAGGGCUUGUGCUUCUUUAGCAAUCCUGGAACAGGGCAGGCAAGCCCAUGCUUUGUGGAUCAAGUGUCAAAUUAGUGGAAACCUUGUAGUUAAUAGUGCUCUCAUGGAUAUGUAUUUCAAGUGUAGUAGUCUCUCUGAAGGGCAUAUUGUAUUUGAGAAGUUUUUAGAUAGACAUAUUGUUACCUGGUCGGCUUUGAUAUCUGGUUAUGGACAACAUGGAAGAGUGGUAGAGGUUAUAGAAUCCUUUCAUAGGAUGUUAGAUGAAGGUUUUAGACCCAACCAUGUUACAUUUCUUGCAGUUCUUUCUGCUUGUAGCCAUGGAGGAUUGGUGAACAAAGGCUGGGAAUACUUUACCUCAAUGACUAGAGAUUAUGGAAUUCAGCCAAAGGGAAAACAUUAUGCAGCAAUGGUUGAUCUGUUAGGGCGUGCUGGUAGGUUAGCAGAUGCUUAUGAGUUUGUCGUGAAUUCACCUUGUAAGGAACACCCUGUUGUAUGGGGUGCUUUACUUGGAGCUUGUAAGAAUCAUGGAAAUAUGGACUUGGCAAAGAUUGCUGCGAAGAACUUCUUUAAGUUGGAACCUGGAAGUGCUGGAAAGUAUGUUGUCUUAUCAAAUGCUUAUGCUUCUUUUGGUUUGUGGGAUAAUGUAGCUGAGAUUAGGAGUGUGAUGAAUGAAUCUGGGAUGAGGAAGGAGCCUGGUUAUAGCAUGAUUGAAAUUCAAAGGGAGGCUCACUUUUUCUUUAUGGAGCAUAAUAUUCAUGAGAAAACGGAGGAGUUGCAUCAGUUAAUUGAAGAUCUGACUUGUGUUCUAAAAGAUAUGGGGUAUGCUCCUGAUGUAAGUAAAUAGUAGACAGGAUUAAAGUUUGAGCUAUUCAGUUGUCUAUGCAGCUAAUGCUAUGGUUGGAUGCUGCUUUUUAGGAGGGUAGAACUCCUGAAAGCUUUAAAUUCUUGGACUGUACUUCUUCCUCAGUGUCAUGCAUGCUAUUCUUUUGUAAUUAGAGAAGGAGAUAAACAUUUCUAUGGUCAUUAUAUUUCCUCUAAUGGUUAGGAAAAGACCUAUAUGUCAAAUCUGUUGGAAAGAUUCAGAGUGACUUUGCGAUUGCAUUAUAUUAAGGGCCUUUUGGAGAUUGAUUAAAUAUAUUCAGAUUAUAUUGAGGUGAUGCUGGAAGUUGUUUAGGAGUCAAGCGUCACAGUGGAUGUCUGAACUUUUUAAGCAGAGGUUUAUGGAUUGAAUGUAUUGGAGUUAAAUAGAAACUGACACUUGGCCAUGAAACUGUUAUCUGAUUCCUUGCUGGAACAAUAUGAAGAGGAAAUUGACACGUUCUGUUGGCCUUUUGAUAAAAGAAAAGUGUUGCAGUUAUAAAAUCUGAUAAGGACACUAGAUAUGCAUUGGAUUUAAUUGUUACACAUGAUGGAGAAAAAUUGCCAUGCUGGCCAUUGGCAAAUCUUUCAUCAUUCAGACAAAAGCUUGGUAGUGAGGCAUAUGAUAAGCUAGACGUUAUUGGUAUAGACGAGGCACAAUUUUUUGAAGACCUUUAUGAUUUCUGCCGUGAAGCUGCUGACCUCGAUGGGAAGACUGUGAUUG